rnacentral:rRNA from 1 species
AUUGAACGCUGGCGGCAGGCCUAACACAUGCAAGUCGAACGAGUGGCGGACGGGUGAGUAAUGUCUGGGAAACUGCCAGAUGGCGGGGGAUAACUACUGGAAACGGUAUCUAAUACCGCAUACCAUCGGAUGUGCCCAUAUGGGAUUAGUUAGUAGGUGGGGUAACGGCUUACCUAGGCGACGAUCCCUAGCUGGUCUGAGAGGAUGACAAGACACACUGGAACUGAGAGACGGUCCAGACUCCUACGGGAGGGAGCAGUGGGGAAUAUUGCACAAUGGGCGCAAGCGUGAUACAUCCAUGCAGGGUGUAUGAAGAAGGCCGUCGGGUUGCAAGGUACUUUAAGCGGUGAGGCGUUACCCGCAGAAGAAGCACCGGCUAAUUCCGUGCCAGCAGCCGCGGUAAUAC